rnacentral:rRNA from 1 species
GAUGAACGCUAGCGGCAGGCCUAACACAUGCAAGUCGAGGGGUAACAGGGUAGCAAUAUCGCUGACGACCGGCGCACGGGUGAGUAACGCGUAUGCAACCUUCCUUUAACUGGGGGAUAGCCCGGAGAAAUUCGGAUUAAUACCCCAUAAUAUCAUUGAAAGGCAUCUUUUGAUGAUUAAAGCUCCGGCGAUUAAAGAUGGGCAUGCGUGCCAUUAGCUAGUUGGUGAGGUAACGGCUCACCAAGGCUACGAUGGUUAGGGGGUCUGAGAGGAUGAUCCCCCACACUGGUACUGAGACACGGACCAGACUCCUACGGGAGGCAGCAGUGAGGAAUAUUGGGCAAUGGGCGCAAGCCUGACCCAGCCAUGCCGCGUGAAGGAUGAAUGCCCUAUGGGUUGUAAACUUCUUUUGUACGGGACGAAACUCUCGGUCGUGACCGGGAUUGACGGUACUGUAUGAAUAAGCAUCGGCUAACUCCGNGCCAGCAGCCGC